rnacentral:rRNA from 1 species
AUGAUGGGGAGGUUUCGGGCUAAGCUCAAUGCUUUGGAACUAAAAGAGAUAUACUUGAACGACAGAAGAUACACCUGGUCAAACGAACGAAGAGUGGCUACCUUGGAGAAGAUCGAUCAUGUCUUUGCUUCGAAUGACUGGGACGAGGCCUAUCCAACAAGUUUCCUUUCUGCGUUGGGCACGGCUGUGUCUGAUCAUUGCCCACUGAUGCUGGAUAUGAAUGUGAGCAUUAAUAUGAAGAGUCGUUUCAAGUUUGAGUCGUUCUGGAUUCGAGCCCCGGGUUUCAUGGAUGUAGUAAAGCUGGCUUGGUCCACCACACCUGUAGCCAACAAUGACUACCUCACGCUGCAUAACAAGUUAAGGGCAACUGCUGUGAGCCUCCAAAGGUGGAGUGACCGUUGGAUCGGCAAUGUGAAAUUGCAAAUUUUGGUUGCACUUGAAGUUAUCAAACAGCUUGACGUGGCCAUGGAGACAAGGACGCUAUCUGAUGCUGAGAGGGCACUGAGGAAGUGUCUAAAGAAGAAGCUGCUGGGUUUGAGCUCUCUAGAGAGGACGAUAGUAAGGCAAAGAUCAAGGCUGUUGCAACUACGUGAGGGUGACGGAAAUACUAGGCCUUUCCAUCAGCAAGCCAGUCAUAGGCAAAGAAAGAAUAUCAUAAGAGUUGUGAAGCACAACGGCAACCUGUACUCUGGGCAGGACGAGGUGGCAUCGGCGGUGGACACAUACUUCGGUGCAGCUUUUGGCGAUGCGGAGGAGAGGUCACAUGCCCUCAACCUUGACAUGUUGGGCUUGCUGCACCUGGACUUACAUCACUUGGAGAGCCCGUUCAUGGAUGAGGAAGUGGAGAAAGUAAUCAAGAGCAUGCCCAUGGACAAAGCUCCGGGGCCGGAUGGGUUCACUGGUCAUUUUUAUGCAACUUGCUGGGACAUAAUCAAGGUGGAUUUCAUGAGAGCGAUGAACAGUUUCUACAAGGGGGACAUGAGAGGUUUGGCCGCAAUCAAUAAGUCCCUUGUCUCACUUUUGCCAAAGAAGGAGGGGGCUUUGGAGGUGAGGGACUUCCGGCCUAUAAACCUUGUCCACGGGGCCAUCAAGAUCUUUGAAAAGGUUUUGGCCAGUCGGUUGGUGGAGGAUCUCCCCAAGUUGGUUGGGAACCACCAAAGUGCAUUCGUUAAGGGCAGAUCGCUGCAUGACAACUUCAUGCUUGUGCAGAGCAUGGCACGACGCUUGCAUGCUUUGAGGAGUUCAAGUGUGCUGCUAAAGCUAGAUAUAUCUAAAGCUUUUGACUCCGUUCAAUGGCCUUUUCUUAUUGAGGUGUUGAAUCAAAUGGGCUUCGGACCAAGGUGGAGGUCUUGGAUAUGCGGGAUACUUGCAACAUCGACCACCAAGAUCAUGGUGAAUGGUGAGCCGGGAGACACGAUAUAA